AUUUAAGUUUGGAAUCCAUGCACUAUGAUUAAAAAUUUAUCAAAGUAAUUUGUCAGUAGUAAGGUAAACUCUGUCAAAAAUGGACAAAAUGGAGGUAAAAGAUAGACAGGUGUAAACUCUGGUAAACUGGAUGGUAGUCUGUCAAAGAUUAUUCCUAAUUUCACCAAAAUGAGUUCAGGAAAUUAUGCUAUCAUUACUGCAGAAGAAAUAUGCUUGUGAAAACUGAUAUGUGAAUAUGAGGCCACCCUAUUUUUUAUAUGGCCAUCAAUAUUUUACUUUUAAUGAAGAAAUUUGCUCUAAUUGAUAUUAACAGCAAAAACAUAUUUUUCAGGCCACAGAACUAAAGUGAUAUCCCUUCCACACAUUCUGUUUAUAGAGUAUUAUAUAGUAAAACUAUAUAUAAUACAGUGUAAAUCCAUGAAUAUGAGUCAAUUUACACUAAAUGGCUAAUUUAUGUUGUGCUAAAUUUUCACUUUUUUCUAGAAUUACCUAUGUUGACAAUAUGAUAUUAAACACUACCAUGAAUGUGCAUGUCUGUAUACUCAUGCAUUGUUUCCCUUUUAAUUUCAUUUGUUCAUUUUCCUGCCUUAUUACACCUGUGCUGUGAAAAGCUGUUAAAGAAAACGAACUCAAAGGGACGCAUAUGACAAAAAUGGGAGUUGAAUUUUGCCUGGCAAAUAACCCUUCUACUACAUAGGGUUCCUCCAUGGAGACAGGUGCCUUUUGGUACCCUUUCUUCUGAGAUUGUCGAUGAAGAAAUAGGUUCUUUAUCACAAUGGUUUGAUGAAAUUGUGUUCCUGUACUGGUGUGGUUUCAGUGGAAAUUAAAUGACUUUACAAAGAUAAAUAUUUUAAUAGCAAAAUAGUUCAGUUCCUCGUCUUAAAAUAACUCAGUAUGUGUGCAGUCCAUCAUCAUAUUUGACUAUAUUAUGCCCCACGAUGAAAUAAUUGAACGUGUCACUCCUGGUAGUUUACAUAUUGAUAACUUGUAGAAAGAAUAUACUUUUUAUUUCAUAUUUUAUGAUUUUGCAUCUUUGGUUAUAGGAUUUAUUCAGUGAAAGGCAGAUUAUGUAGAUCAAUUUUUAGCCUUAUAUUGUUCAUAUGAGCAAGUAGUGUUUCUCCUACCAGAAUCUUACAAAGUAAAAGAUAUAUAGACAGACUGGAGGGAAUUUAUAACUUUUUGUGGGUGACGCAUAUGUUGCUAGUCCAAUAACAAAUAUUUUAGAUUUCGUUUCGCACAUUUAGUUUGAAUGAGAGUGGUGGUUUUAUUACAAAACUGCCGUUAAUAUUUAGUUUUAAUCUUUCUUCCAAAUCUGUCUGUAUAAAUGCACUUUGAACAAUAUUUUUGCAGGUUAACUUUUUUAUGAUUACAUAUGAAGGCAGAAAGGAAAGGUAAAAACCAAAUGGAAAAAAGGACUAACUGGUGGAUUUAUUCUUUAAAAAAUAACAUCAAAGACCGGCCACAGUCUCAUAUUACUUGUGCAUCGGUCGCCGUCUUUCCAUGUAAAAAUAUUUAUUUGUAUUCAAGGUUGUUAGUUUGGUUGUAUUUUUAUUUUGGAACAAUAGCAGCUGUAUGUUUUGGUUGCUAGUUCUUUAAUGAUAAUACUGCAUGGUACAGAUUUACAGAUCAGUUCAAUCUUAAACGGCACCUCUGUUCAUUAAUUUUUUGUGUUACAUUACAAAGUCAUUUAGACUGAUUUGCUUUUUUUAUAUCUGGUACAUCCCAUUUCAAAGACAUUCUGAGGUGUGUGUGUGUGUGUGUGUACAGUCACUGAUAUUGUACUCUAGCAGCAUUUAAUUGAUUUUGAUAAUUGUGAAAUCCUAUGAUAAUCUGAAGUGUUCUUAGGUUUGCGUGGCUUUGAUUAUGGCCUUAAUAAAAGAGCAUUAACUACGUGCACAUUAACUACGUGCUAAUUAAACUGCUGCUGCAAGGCAUACUGUAUGGUAGAUCUUGCUGUGAUUUAUACCAAAUGUAUCAUGGUAUUCAUUAAAAUAAAGAUGUGAGCAAUUUUUUUAAAUUUAUCAAGUGCUUGUUAUUUGGAAUUAAUGUAUUGUAGUAUGGUCUAACCAAUGCUACUUGUACAGUAACAGAAUCGAUACUUUUAAACCUGCUUACUCACACAUUUUUCUCUUGCGUAAACAGACAUAAUGUCAUAUGUCAUGUGCUACGCUUAUAUUUUACAGCUCCAAAUCUAUAUUUGUUGUCAUAAACAGAAUCCAACUUAGGUCACCGUUUCAUAGCAGAUGUGAAGCGCUGGAUGAAUUCAGUGUUUUUGCCGCUACCCAUUUAAGAUGCGUUAUAAUCUGUUUACACUGCUCACGUGUAGCUGUUCUGGGAAUGACUACAGAAAGCACAUAGCAGACAGACUUGUUUGAGGCUGACUUCAAUCCGAGGUUUUUACUUGUUUCAGCAUUGGAUCUCUAAAGUUUUAUGGGAAUUUGUUUUUUUUUUUUUUUUUGGUUUGUUGUACUUCAUGGCUAACUGUAAAGAUGCACAUAUUUGCUAUGUAUGCUAAGAGAAUACAAUAAAUCUUGGAAAACA